rnacentral:lncRNA from 1 species
CACCCCGGGGAGACGUGAAACGGCCCCAGAAAGAGCGAAGCUGGAGCUUCUCUGGAGCCUCCAGAGGUUCUGUUCAGGAGACAUGCGGCACCAGCCAGCAGCAGACAGCUUCCAGUCAUCAUCGCUAGGAAUUAAUUAGCCAUCGCUAAUCCAAAACUAAGUUGGUUGUUGACUUGCUGUGAGAGCGACCAGGGGAGGAGUGAGACACAGCCACCGCCUCCUCACCCACUCAGCCCUGCUCAGUGCCUGAUGGUGAGCGCUGCAAUGAGGGGGGAGGAAGAGUGAUAGGGUUCCUCCAGCAGCCAAGGCCGUGUCAGCUGCGUGUCAAAUACAUUUUUAUCUGCAACUUCAAAUACUGUAUGUAAAAUCAGCCCCUCUCCUCCUCCAAGCCUCCCAUUAUUUCGUCGCCUGCUUCCACCUCUUCUUCCAUUUACAGCUCUUGGUGUUCACUGGAAACUGUAGCGUUCAGACUACCUGGACAUGCUCUAUCUGUCCAUGGCCACCUGUACUGAUUGCAUUUCCUCCACCAAUUACUUGGGUAAUUGUGGGAGCACCUGGGCUGCAGAUAACCACCACCUGCGACAGCUCACACACUUUACAACGGAGAGUGGACAUGCAGAAGCUGGCCACAAAAAAAGAAAAAAUGAGUGAGGCUUAAACUGUAAAGAUGCCCCACUCUUUUCCAGGCACCUGCUCCACGUCCAGAGGUGCCUUUGUGACAUUUCUGUCUCCUCCCCCUCAUCAAUCACAGCACGGGACCGAGCAGGUGCUGAAGACCAUCUCGACAUUCCUCAACUGGCUCAGCCUGCAGUGCCGGAGUCUUGAGGCUCAUCCAGUUUUCCCAGCCACCGGAUAAAGCCUCAACACCACAGCUCAGACGCCUGUUAUUGUCUCCCUUUGAGUCCCAAGGUCACAGGCUCAUAGCAAGGGUCAAGGUAACA